UAUGGCCAUAUCACAUUAAAACACAGGUUCCCGUCCGAUCACCGAAUUUAAGCAACGUCGAGCCUGGUUAAUACCUAGACGGGUGACCGUUUGGGAAUACCAGGUGCUGUAAG